CGUGCGAGCCUAGGCCUUGGCCUUCUCCCAGCCCACAGGGUGGCCAGUGUUUCUGCGGAGCAGGGGGCGACGAUGCCUCUGGAUGCCAGGGUUUGUAGAGUGCAGCCGGCCUUCUCCCCUCAGGCGAUGAGUUCGACUCGAGCCUCCACAACUAGCGUCCCCGCGCAGAGAAGGCUGAGUAGCGCGGCACUUGUGCGAGCGGGCACUUAGGCUGGUGCCCCAGAAGGUGUGAGCCCCACGCCUCUUUGGCUGUUUUCCCAGACUCGGGAGAGCAUCCUGGGCUGAGGGCCUCCCCGAUCGGGGAGACGCGGCCCGCUGGCUCGGCAAAGCCAGGCCGGCGCUUUCACGAGACACCGCCUGAGGUCUCCUGGCAGAUUGCUCUUCCCGUCUGCCGUUGUCACACUGAGGAUGUGGAGGUCCCUGGGCUGGGACUGGACACUGGAUUCCCAAGGGUCGAGUGGGGAUCUGCUUAGUGUGACUGGCCCCGUGCGAAUUUCUUUCCAGGCCAACACACCGAUCCGGAGGACGACGGGGGCGUCCAAGACGGCCUGUGUUGCAGGCUCGGCAGGGAUGUGCCGCCCACGGUCGAGCCUCCGCUCCCGAGAGCGUGCCUGGAGGAAUACUCCUGGACCUGCGCCACGGACGUCGGCCAGUCCGAGUCCUGCUGGACUCAGUCGAGCAGUGCCGUCUUCUGCUUCCAGGGCCUGGCCGUCUCCUCCCUGGCAGACACCCCCAGCCAACACACCGAUCCGGAGGACGACGGGGGCGUCCAAGACGGCCUGUGUUGCAGGCUCGGCAGGGAUGUGCCGCCCACGGUCGAGCCUCCGCUCCCGAGAGCGUGCCUGGAGGAAUACUCCUGGACCUGCGCCACGGACGUCGGCCAGUCCGAGUCCUGCUGGACUCAGUCGAGCAGUGCCGUCUUCUGCUUCCAGGGCCUGGCCGUCUCCUCCCUGGCAGACACCCCCAGUGAGUAUUGCCGCUGUGCAGGGGAUAAGGCUCCAGCUGGACUCCCUGGGCGGUCGGUGUCCUUGGCAUGCCAGCCCUCGGGCUGUGCAGACAGACACAUUGAAGGGAAUCAGGCUGGAGGACAGAGUUGGAAGCACAGACGGGAGACGCUUGAGGGAGCUGCGCUCCCUUCCUUCUUGCCAGGAUGCGCCCAGGUGCCCCUGGCCCCAGUGACACAUCACGGGACCCAAAGCCGGCAGGACAAACUCAGCUCCCCUGUGCCGCACGUAGCGCCAGGGCAGGUGUCU
rnacentral:lncRNA from 1 species